UACCAUUUCUCCUGAAAGGCAAGAGGUGGGGCCUGUCUAGCCUUUAUAGCCAGGAUUACUCGAGUUGACGUUAACACAUCGUUUUCAGAGUCAAAAGAUAUCAGCAGAAAUGAGGGGUGAGAUGACUAUAAAUGUGUUUAAAUUAAAUUAAAUUAAAGCCUUCAACCUGUAUAUGCAUGUAUAUAAAUGUGUUUUAUUUACAGCAUUGCCUGAAUGUACAGUACAUAACUUUCUUUUACGUGUUUUAGACCUUGUAAUCAUAAGCCUCUUGGUAUGUGCAUUUGAAGAAGACAGGGUUUUUUCCUGGAGUGGUUUGGGAAACGACAGUCAAGUUGACACCAAUGAGAAUGCAUGUCUGACUGAUGUGGUGUCAUGUGGAUGCUGCCUGAUGCAAAAUCAGAUCUGGAAGCUCGAGAUGUUUUUCAACAUGACAUUAAAUGAGCUGCAGAGGAACAUGAAGAGAGCUCAUUCAGUGUUAAACAAUAUUUGUGCCAGUCGCAGUGCCUUCUCUGUGGCUCUUACUGACAAACGCCUCUGUGUUGGCCCAAAUCGUGAAGACUCUGUGGUGAAGUAUAGCAGUGUAUUAGUUAACUUGGGAGAGUGCUAUAGCACCGACACUGGUGCUUUUGUAGCACCACGUUCUGGUAUCUAUAGCCUGGCUCAAACACUUUAUAGCAGGCAUGGGCAAACUCUGUCCUGGAGGGCCGAUGUCCCUGCAGAGUUUAGCUCCAACCCUGAUAAAACUCACUUGCCUGUAGCCUUCUAG
ensembl:lncRNA